ensembl:miRNA Mir344h-1 microRNA 344h-1
CAGGCUUCUGGCUAUAUUCCAGGACAUACCUGGUCCUGGGUAUAACCAAAGCCCGACUGU